rnacentral:rRNA from 1 species
GACGAACGCUGGCGGCGUGCUUAACACAUGCAAGUCGAACGGAAAGGCCUGCUUUCCCUUGUGGAUUGCGGGUACUCGAGUGGCUAACGGGUGAGUAACACGUGAGUGAUCUGCCCCCAACUUGGGUAUAAGCCUGGGAAACUGGGUCUAAUUCCCGAUAGGACUGCAGGGUGGUGCCUUUGGUGGAAAACGAUUUUCUAGUGGUUGGGGAUGAGUUCGCGGCCUAUCAGCUUGUUGGUGGGGUAAUGGCCUACCAAGGCGGCGACGGGUAGCCGGCCUGAGAGGGUGGACGGCGACAUUGGGACUGAGAUACGGCCCAGACUCCUACGGGAGGCAGCAGUGGGGAAUAUUGCACAAUGGGCGGAAGCCUGAUGCAGCGACGCCGCGUGGGGGAUGACGGCAUUCGGGUUGUAAACUCCUUUCGACCGCGAGGAAGCCACCUGGUUGGAAGGGUGGUGACGGUAGUGGUAGAAGAAGCACCGGCUAACUACGUG